CCUACGGGAGGCAGCAGUGGGGGAUAUUGCACAAUGGAGGAAACUCUGAUGCAGCGACGCCGCGUGAGGGAAGACGGUCUUCGGAUUGUAAACCUCUGUCUUUGGGGAAGAAAAUGACGGUACCCAAAGAGGAAGCUCCGGCUAACUACGUUCCAGCAGCCGCGGUAAUACGCAGGGAGCGAGCGUUGUCCGGAAUUACUGGGUGUAAGGGGAGCGUAGUCGGGCGAGAAAGUUGAAUGUUAAUUCUACCGGCUUAACUGGUAGCUGCGUUCAACACUUCUUGUCUUGAGUGAAGUAGAGGCAGGCGGAAUUCCUAGUGUAGCGGUGAAAUGCGUAGAUAUUAGGAGGAACACCGGUGGCGAAGGCGGCCUGCUGGACUGUGACUGACGUUGAGGCCCGAAGGCGUGGGGAGCAAACAGGAUUAGAUACCCCAGUAGUC
rnacentral:rRNA from 1 species